rnacentral:rRNA from 1 species
GACGAACGCUGGCGGCGUGCUUAACACAUGCAAGUCGAACGGUGACGAUCAAGCUUGCUUGGUCUGAUCAGUGGCGAACGGGUGAGUAACACGUGAGUAACCUGCCCCAGACUCUGGGAU